UAGGGAGGUGACGUCAAGUCCUCAUGGCCCUUAUGUCCAGGGCUACACACGUGCUACAAUGGCCGGUACAAAGGGCUGCAAGACCGUGAGGUUGAGCGAAUCCCAGAAAGCCGGUCUCAGUUCGGAUUGGAGUCUGCAACUCGACUCCAUGAAGUUGGAAUCGCUAGUAAUCGCGGAUCAGCAUGCCGCGGUGAAUACGUUCCCGGGCCUU
rnacentral:rRNA from 1 species